UCUGUCUCAAAAUUGUGAUUUUCUGAUACAAAAUCAUAUCCUUCACUAAUACUAACAUUACCAUAACUACUGAUGUUUUCAUUUUCAAGAAAGAAUUCCAUUAGCAAAUCUUCAUAAAAAAGCAAGCUUUCAAGCUCUUGUUCAUAAAUAAUUGAAUCUGAGGCCAAGAAUGCAGUUGGAACUGAAGGUGCAUCCACCGAGAUCACAUCCCUCUCCUCGAAAUUACUUCUAACUCUAAUCCAAUCAUCCUCUUCCCAAGUCCAAUUGGGUAUAUCCACAGGGCAAGUACAUUCAACCAACUUCUUGAUUCUCUCUGGCGGAGAAUUCGAAUUCGAAAAACCUCCAAGUGUUGCUUCCAUUGAAUUCCAGAAAUCUUGAUCCAGUACACAACUUGGAGAAGUCGUGGUAAAAUCCUCCAUUUCCCUAAGCUCCAAGUCCAAAUUACCGAGAAAUGGAUGAUCGAGUAAUUCUUUAGCCGUCCAUCGCUCUUUUGGAUCUCUCCUUAAACACUUGCUCAAGAAAUCCUGACCCUUCUCUGUUAACCAGCUGGGAAACUCCGGCACCACACCAGAGAACCCAAUCUGAUACAAAGCUGAUACUGGGUCAUUCUGUUGCUCUGUCCAUGGGAUAGUCCCAGUUGCCAUUUCUAUGACUGUGCACCCCAAAGCCCACAAGUCUGCUGGGAACCCCUGCUCUUCUCCACGAGCUACCUCUGGCGCCAUGAACGCCGGUGUACCAGAAAAUUCUGACAUGGCACAACCACCAACUUUUUCAACAUAUUUAGCACAGCCAAAGUCGGCAAUUUUCGCUCCUUCUUUGCUUAUCAGAACAUUCUUGCUCUUGAUAUCACAAUGGACCAAGCCAUUCGUAUGCAAGUACUCCAAGCCUUGUAAGAUAUCUCGUGUGUAUAAUCUUAUCGUCGGCUCAUCUAGCUGACCUCCAUGUCUCCGAAUCGCAUCGUGGAGGGUGCCGCCGGCGACGUACUCCAUGCAAAUAUUGUACAUAGGCUUACUAUCUUCGUCUGUAAUAUCAUAGCCUAAGUACUUGACUACAUAAGGACUGCUUAAUUUAGACAGAAAGUAGUGCUCUUUUUGCAGGAACAUAGACCUAGAGAGCUCCGUGGACUUAACAGCAAAGAGCUCACCGGUGGAGGCACAGGUGGCUAACGAGACAGUGGCGGUGGAGCCACGGCCGAUGACAGGCCCUCUAGUCCACUCCAUAUUGGAGAGAAGAGAGCACACAAGAAAAGAGGAGUGAAAAAG
rnacentral:misc_RNA from 1 species